rnacentral:rRNA from 1 species
UACGUAGGGCGCAAGCGUUAUCCGGAAUUAUUGGGCGUAAAGAGCUCGUAGGCGGUUUGUUGCGUCGGCUGUGAAAUCCCGAGGCUCAACCUCGGGUCUGCAGUCGAUACGAGCAAACUAGAGUGUUGCAGGGGAGACUGGAAUUCCUGGUGUAGCGGUGAAAUGCGCAGAUAUCAGGAGGAACACCAACAGCGAAGGCAGCUCGCUGGGACGGUAUUGACGCUGAGGCGCGAAAGCGUGGGGAGCAAACAGG